rnacentral:lncRNA from 1 species
CCAGUGCCCCUUUCUCUGUGACACAUCCAUCCACUGGAAACUUUCGUACAACUAGCUGAAAGAAGAGAAACAUCCUAUUUCAUGUCACUGGAGCCCUAAUGAUCGCAGCCAUUUCAGGAAAUGCCAUCAAUUACAGUGAGGAGCUCAUUCAGAAGUGAAAGAUGAGUUCCAUUCUCUGUUACUUAGAGGGUGGAUAUCCUCCUCCACUGAAUGCAAACUAUUAAGUAAUGAAAAGACAGCACUCCAAGCAAUAUAGAUUUAUAGGCCAACCUGGCAAUCAAGGGUAACUGACAUGAAAAUGGAUUGCUUCACAUUUUAAUUACAAAGAUACUCUUCAGUACCAUAAAUUGAAGAAAACACUAACUUUUUGUGGCUACUGUAAUUGUCAAAGUAUAAUUACCUGUGUUUUCUCACCUACGUAUUUGAGAUAGAGACAAAACCAAGUAAGUUAAUCCACUUAUAAUAAAAAUGUCUUCUGAGAAUAUA